AACGAACGCUGGCGGCAGGCUUAACACAUGCAAGUCGAACGGGUGCAGCAAUGCAUCAGUGGCAGACGUGUGAGUAACCCGUGGGAACCUUCCUAGGGGUACGGAACAACUCAGGGAAACUUGAGCUAAUACCGUAUACGUCCGUGAGGAGAAAGAUUUAUCGCCCUGAGACGGGCCCGCGUCGGAUUAGCUAGUUGGUGGGGUAAGGGCCUACCAACGCGACGAUCCGUAGCUGAUCGUAGAGGAUGAUCAGCCACACUGUGGCUGAGACACGGUCGAAAGUGGUACGGGAGGCAGUAGUGGGGAGUCUUGGCCAAUGUGCGCAAGCAUGAACCCGCCAGGCCGCAUGAGUGAAGAAGGUCUUCGGAGUGUAAAGCUCUUUGGUCAGGGGAGGUAAUGGCGGUACCUGUGGAGUAAGCCCCGGCUAUGUGCGUGGAAGCAGCCGCUGUAA
rnacentral:rRNA from 1 species